UCUAGGCCCUGUUUUACUUUGCAACAAACAAGACAUAGAUAAGGCUGAGAGGGGUAAAAAGGCAGCAGUUGAUAUCUCUGAAUGCUUAAACUGGUUGGAUUCGUGGCCACCUAACUCGGUGGUGUACGUUUGUCUUGGAAGUAUUUGUAAUCUAACAUCUUCGCAAAUGAUUGAGCUUGGUUUAGGUCUAGAAGCCUCUAAGAAACCAUUUAUUUGGGUUAUCAGGGGAGGAAAUAACACAUCUAAAGAAAUACAAGAGUGGUUAUUAGAAGAAAAAUUUGAGGAAAGGGUUAAAGGAAGAGGCAUUUUGAUCCUUGGAUGGGCUCCACAAGUACUGAUAUUGUCACACCCUUCAAUUGGAGGAUUUUUAACACAUUGUAGUUGGAACUCAUCUCUUGAAGGGAUAUCAGCCGGCGUACCCCUGAUCACAUGGCCACUUUAUGGGGACCAAUUUUGGAACGAAAAGUUGAUUGUGCAAGUUCUAAAUAUUGGGGUGAGGAUUGGAGUGGAAGUUCCCUUAGAUUUUGGGGAGGAAGAAGAGAUUGGGGUAUUGGUAAAGAAGGAAGAUGUUGUAAAGGCUAUUAACAUACUCAUGGAUGAAGGAGGGGAAACAGAUGACAGAAGAAAAAGAGCCAGAGAAUUCCAGAUAAUGGCAAAAAGGGCAACAGAAGAAACAAGAUCUUCUUCCCUCAUGAUCAAACUAUUAAUCCAAGAUAUCAUGCAACAGCCACAUGGUGAUGACCAACAUAUAUAACGCUUGAGAGAUUAAUUUCUUAAUUUGUUUCAUGUGUACUUGUUAAUUCACUUAUUUUAUUUUAUUUUUUUUGAGAGGUUAAUUCACUUAUCUAUUAUGGUACUAUUGUUAAAUCUGUGUUCAUCCAUUGAUCAGAUAUGCAUUAUUCCCUGAUUAUCAAGGAAUCUCGGCCGAGCAACUGUUUAUAAUUUUAGGACUCGUUUGGGAGUGUGGUGCGAUAGCUGGGCUGUUAAAACCUAGCUGCUGAGGUGUUUGGUAACACUUGUAGCUGGGCUUUGGCAGCUUAGUAGAUUUUUUUUCCUAACUUCUACUCUACAACUAUAUCUUUUACUUUACAGCAGCUGCAGCUUAAAAGUUACAGCACUUCACUCCCAAACACACAUUUAAUUAACUCAAACUAGUUUGUAGGGUAUAAUCAAUAAACAAUUAUAAUGAUUUACUUGCAAUUGACUGCAUUAAAAUAUAUUCUUUUAAUGUUUAUAAUUAUAAGUUGUACUAUCAAAAAGUUAUUGUUAAAUUAAUUAUAUAUAAAUUAAUUAAUAUCCGCCAACGCAAUGUUUGAAAAAUUCUCUUAAUUGUCCACUGUUUGACCGAGCAUUGACUAGUCGCCAUUGCUCCAAUGGCGGCUGGUGGUGGUAAUCUGCCACUGUCGAAACCACCCUACACACCAGUGACCUCUCCUUUGGCCGGCAACAACCAUCACAACCGCACUCACACCCAAACCAAAGGCCAAAAACGUGUUCGCAAUGUCGAAUCCUGCCCAUCGCCGCCGCCACACCUGUUGCCAUCGAUGAGGACCACCUUCUGCCAUCGACCAUCUCCUCAGCCCACCUCUUACAGCUACUGCUUUGAGAGAUAAUGCUGGAUGGGCUGAGGUAACAAAGCCUUCUUCUUCUAUUAAGGAUGAUUUAGGUAUUCAGAGGGUUUCCACUGGUGCUACUUUUUUCUGAGCUAUAGUGGAGGAUAUUCAAUCCGUGACUAUGGGUUUUAAUUCCCAUUCUACAGAUAUUCAUUUUUAGUUGGAUGAGGAGCUUAGCUCUGAUGAGAAUCCUGUGGCUGAUGAUUAUAUUACGUCUGAGCCUGAGCAUUCUGGAGGGGGUGAUCUUGACCCCAACUUCAGUGUUGUUAGUCCACAUUCCUCUAGUUCGAGAAAAGAUUUCACAUUAGUUAUUGGUCACAGGUAUCGUAGGCAGUCUUGAGGCAUUUGCAUUAAUUAAUUAUCUUUAACUUCUUAUUUGUUCUCAUAAUGUUUUUGUUAUUUUUUUGGAUUUGUUGGUUGUGUUGUUAUUUUGCUUGUAGGUUUUAGUUUGUGUCCUCCUCCAUAUGUAAUUUCUUUUAUUUCAAUAGUCUACAGUUAAGAGGAUCCCGCCUAACCCUCCCACCUUAGGGUGGUUUUAAAUUAAAAAGGAAAAUUAUCAUUCGUAUACUCUUAGUUUACUCCGUUAUAAAAAAUACUACAAUAUUUUGAGGGUGUAUCAAUCGUACAUCCUAAGUUGACAAAAUGUAUCUACCAUCCACUAAAUCGUUACUUGUCGUUUAAAUAUGAUGAUGUUAGAGGGGUAAUAUGGUCUUUUCAUAUGAUACAAGUGAUAAUUUAAAAGUAUACAAGUGAUAAUAAGAGAAUUUAAGGGUAUAUAAGUGAUAAUUUUUCUUUACUUUAAUUUAAGUUUUAUGGGUAAAAUCUUCAAUUCGCUAUAAUUCCAUUAACUUGCAAAUGACAGCUAACGGUUUAGUGGUCAGCAGAUAGUUUCUGUUAAUUUAAGGUGGACAAUUAUACAACCUCAAAGUGUUGUAGUAUUUUUGAUAAUAUAACAACAAUAUGGUAUACGAAUGAUAAUUUCUCAAUUUGAAAAAAACGUUACUGUUAAAUUCAAAUUAAUUUCGUUACUGUAAUUGUAAUUGAAUUUAAUAAUUUUAAAUCCAAUAAAAUUUGCCACAUAUUGAUUUAAAUUUAUAUUAUCAUUACUUAACGUCGUAUUAGUUUUUAAUUGUUGAGUGUACUAUUACAUACAAUUUGUUGAAAUUUAGAUUGUUAAUUUUCAAGGUCAAAAGGAUAUUUAUUUUUAUAAUUUUAUAAAGAAGUUCAGAAGGAUUAUUUGUGUUGGAGAUAAAAAUUUGGUUGGACAAAUAGAAGCUUGGGAUAAUUUAAUUACAAUUUAAGUACCCCUAUCUAAGGAAGAAAGUGACCAAUUAGGUUGUACCACGUAUACAAAAGAUUAAUGAUGCCCCGAUGCAAAAGGUCGGAUCCAACUCACAUUCAUCUUUUUUCUUGAGAUGGGAUUACUUUGUUUGAUUAUCGAAAUAUCAUCACUGACCACUACCACCAAUCGCCCUCUAAUAGCCUCGUAAAUAAGAAAUUAAAAUUUCAACAUAAACAGAGAUACACAAAAUAUAUUAAUCUGACACAAAAUAUUUCUGCUAUUAGUAAAUUAUCAUCAUUAAUAUCAAUACCUUACUUUAUCUUUUAAUCAACAUACAAGUGUUAUCAACAAUGUUAACAAGUAAAUUAUGUACAAUUAUCGUUAAUAAUUAAUUAAACAAAUAAAAAUCUAACUUCAGUAAUCAAUCAUUACGUUCAAGUAAUUGAAGUAAAACAAACAAAAUUUAUCAAUUAAAAUAAGAUAUCAGUAAUAUUAAAUUUAAAAAUUAUAAAACUUCUAGUUAUUAAAAACUUAUUUUGUGUGUGUAUAUGCUGUGCUGAGAUAAGUUAGGUUUAGAAAUUAAGAACUUUAACGGACAUAUAUUUAUGAUUGAAUUUUUUAAUGUAAGUUUUAUUAUUAAAAUUAAAAAUAUAAAUAAUUAAAAUAAAGAAUGUAGGUGUGAGUAUCCAAUAGAUUUUUUCUCAAUACCAAAUCUAUUCGCAUCCUACAACAAAUUUCAGUUAAAAUACUAAAUUCACUCACAACCCAUAAAAUUAUUCACAGCAGAUAAGUUUUUACAGACGAAUUUGGACUGCUUUGUGGGUUGAUGAAUAAUUUUGCCAUUCCUGAAUUCAAGGUUCAUCGUUUGCAAGGUCCCUCAUAAAUCAAGCAUCCUCUUUCGUGGCUCUAUUCUUCAAAGCUUAACUUUCCCACCAGUUAUCAAAGUUCACCCUCAAGAUAGCCUGAAAGCUACUUCCUUAAAUAUUUUAGUUCAUCUGAGGCUUGACAAAAAAUGAGCUAAAAUAACUAGUGUCUUUUAUGCCUUAAAAUAUUAAAUUUGAAAAAUCAAAAAAGAGUUAUUAGGAAAAUAUAAGGUGCCUUUAGUAUAGUUUUUGUUUUGUAGUUUUUCAUUUUCCUAGAAUGAAAACUAUAAAAAUUUUUUUUUAGGUCUAUUUUUUAAUAGUAAAUGUAUCAACUGAAAAAAAGUUGUUCUUGUUUCUCAACUUCACAAAAGAGAGUGCAGAACAGAAAUUGGCAUUCUCUACUAUACAAACACACACACUACUUGCCUCACUUUUGUAGCUUGGAACCAUUGCCAAUAUUUAUUAAGCUUGUAACCCUCUAUUUCUUCCUUUUUUUUUAAUAAUAUCAACACAAUAUUUUACUAUUUAUUCAUAAAUUUACGGUUUCUUGUCAGAUAAGAUUUAUUUUUGCUCCAACAUUUUGCAAUUUUAUAGAUAUUCUUAAAUUAUUUUUUAUCUCAUUUUUUAAAAAUAAAAUUUAAAAUAGUCAAAUAAAAUUUAAAUUGUAUAAAUUAUGAUAAAAUAAAUGAACAUUUUUAGUUCAUUAAAGAUUAGACAAUUAGAAAAAUAAUUACAUUUAUCAUUAUCAAUUUAAAACAUGAUAAUUUCUAAAAUUUUAAAUAAAUAAAUAUACAUAUUUAAAAAAAUUACCUACACAUUAUUCAAAAAGAAAUGUUUUGGACAAAAUACUAAAUGUAUUUUCAUUUUUUUUCAUAAAUUAUAAUUUAGAAAUAAGCUACCAAAUGUAUCUUCAAAUAUCGAAACAACCCAUCAAAAACAUCAUCUUUCUUCUGCAAAACAAGUUUAGAAAACACCAAUUGAAAAACAAUACCAAAUACAACCUAAAUGUUUGGUACAAUUAUUUGAAUUUAGUUUAGAUUAUAGAACUGUAAAUAAUGAAAUAUAAAAAAAAUAUUUUAAUAUUCCAAGUAAUUUAUUUAUAAUAUUAUAAUAGAUUUAACAAAAGAUUAUUGAAAAAUAAGUGUGAUUGAUUAUUUGAUGGUCUCACUUUAAUAAAUGAAAUCUUGGAAGUUCAAGUCCUCUUCUCAUAAUAUAUUCCAUUUUAACAGACUAAUUCAACAGAUAGUUUGUCUCGAAAAACACUAGCGGGCCAGCCGGCGGGCUUGAAACAUUAGCCCAAUAUAGCAAUCACCGUGAACUUCUAAAGCAAUAUUAUCUUGUCAUCCCCUCAAAGUUUGCUGAAUAAAAUAAAUAAUUAAAUAAAUUCAGCCCAAUAUGGCCAUCUCUUCUUGGAAUAUAUUCCAUUGUUAUUAAAAGCUUAUUUUAUGUGUGUGUGUGUGUAUGCUGCGCUGAGAUAAGUUAGGUUUAGAAAUUAAGAACUUUAGCUGACAUUCAUUUAUGAUUAAAUUUUUUAAUGUAAGUUUUAUGAUUAAAAUUAAAAAUAUAAAUAAUUAAAAUAAAGAAUGUAGGCGUGAGUAUCCAGUAGAUUUUUUCUCAAUACCAAAUCAACUCGCAUCCUGCAGCGGAUUUCAAUUUAAAAUACUAAACCCACUCACAACCCAGAAAAUUAUUCACAGCAGGUAAGGUUUUAUAGACGAAUUUGGACUGCUUUGUGGGAUGAUGAAUAAUUUUGCCAUCCUUGAACUCAAGGUUCAUCGUUUGCAAGGUCCCUCAUAAAUCAAGCAUCCUCUUUCGUGGCUCUAUUCUUCAAAGCUUAACUUUCCCACCAGUUAUCAAAGUUCACCCUCAAGAUAGCCUGAAAGCUACUUCCUUAAAUAUUUUAGUUCAUCUGAGGCUUGACAAAAAAUGAGCUAAAAUAACUAGUGUCUUUUAUGCCUUAAAAUAUUAAAUUUGAAAAAUCAAAAAAGAGUUAUUAGGAAAAUAUAAGGUGCCUUUAGUAUAGUUUUUGUUUUGUAGUUUUUCAUUUUCCUAGAAUGAAAACUAUAAAAUUUAUUUUUUAGGUCUAUUUUUUAACAGUAAAUGUAUCAACUGAAAUAUAUUUUUUUUCUUUAUUAAGCUUUUAACCCUUUAUUUCUUCCUUUUUUUAUAAUAUCAAUACAAUAUUUUACUAUUUAUUAAUAAAUUUAUGGGUUCUUGUCAGAUAAGAUUAUUUUUGCUCCAACAUUUUUGCAAUUUUAUAGAUAUUCUUAAAUUAUUUUUAUCUCAUUUUUAAAAAGUAAAAUUUAAAAUAGUCAAAUAAAAUUUAAAAUGUAUAAAUUAUGAUAAAAUAAAUGAACCAUUUUUAGUUCAUUUAAGAUUAGACUAUUAGAAAAAUAAUUACAUUUAUCAUUAUCAAUUUAAACAUGAUAAUUUCUAAACUAUUUAAAAAUUAAUUCAAAUAAAUAAAAAAAUAAAUUUAAAAAAUUACCUAAACAUUAUUCAAAAAGAAAUUUUUUGGACAAAAUACUAAAUUUAUUUUCAUUGGUUUUUUUUUCAUAAAUUAUAAUUUAGAAAUAAGCUACCAAAUGUAUCUUCAAAUAUCGAAACAACCCAUCAAAAGCAUCAUCUUUCUUCUGCAAACCAAGUUUAGAAAACACCAAUUGAAAAAAAAUACCAAAUACAACCUAAAUUUUGGUACAAUUAUUUGAAUUUAGUUUAGAUUAUAGAACUGUAAAUAAUGAAAUAUAAAAAAUUAUUUUAAUAUUCCAAGUAAUUUAUUUAUAAUAUUAUAAUAGAUUUAACAAAAGAUUAUUGAAAAAGAAGUGUGAUUUGAUCAUUUGAUUGUCUCUCUUUAAUAUAUGAAAUCUUAGAAGUUCAAGUCCUCUUUUUAUAAUAUAUUCCAUUUUAACAGAUUAAUUCAACAAAUAGCUUGUCUCGAAAAACAAUAGUGGGCCGGGUGGCGGGCUUGAAACAUUAGCCCAAUAUAGCAAUCACCAUCAACUUCUAAAGCAAUAUUAUCUUGUCAUCUGUUCAAAGUUUGCUGAAUACAAUAAGUAAAUAAAUUCAGCCCAAUAUGGCCAUCUCUUCUUGGAAUAUAUUCCAUUCAUUGAUGGAAGAACUAAAUAUAUAAACAAAUACCCACAGAUUUUUUAAUUAUCAUCAAAUUGAUAGGACAUCACUCAUAAGCUGACAAAUUAAGUAGAUCGAUCAAACCGCCUUGUUGUAUGAAUGAAACUGAUUGUUCAUGAAUUAAUCAAAUGAAUUCCUGCCCUCUUGUUUGUUGGAUGACAAAUUCAAUGAGCAUUUCUAUGUUGCGAUGAGAAGAUCCACCUACUCCAAUAGCACGAUUUGCUAUCUCCCCAAGCUGCCUUGCUCUCUUUCUCCUCUUCUCUCCUUGUUUGCCUCGAUCCAUCAGUUUUUCAAUAGCUUCUUUCACUUUCUCCCUCUUAAUCACUAAACCAGACUUGUCUUCCAAACCCCAUGUCACUGCAGCCUCAAUUCCAACACUCACUCCAAUCCCUAAUACUUGCACAGCUAACUUCUCAUUAUAAAAUUGCUCGGCAAACAAAGGGCAUGUUACUAACGGCACUCCCGCACUCACUCCUUCUAGUGUUGAAUUCCAACCGCAAUGUGUCAAGAACCCUCCAAUUGCUCGAUGAGAUAAUAGCAACACUUGAGGUGCCCAUCCCCGAAUUAUAAAUCCUCUCCCUGUUGUCCUUUCCUCAAAUCCUUCUUCUUGGAUCCACUUCUCUAAACCUUGUGAUCUUUCACCUCCUCUUAUUACCCAAAUGAACGGCUGACUUGAUGCUUCUAAGCCUAACCCAAGUUCUAAAAGUUGCCAAGUAGCAAGGCCACAGAUACUCCCAAGACAAGCAUAAAUCACAGACCCAGGUUCCCAUGAGUCAAGCCAUUUCAAGCACUGUUCAUAAUCAUCUACCGUUGAUCCAUUUUCACCUCUGCAUCUCUCAGCUUUAUCUAUGUUCAACUUAUUGCAAGCCGAAACCGGGCCAAUACACCAAACCUUAUCACCUUUGACCCUUUUAUAUUCUUUGACAUAUUCUGCUUCCAAUUCUUCGAAAGUAUUAACCACAAUUCCAUCUGCUGAUUGCUCUGCUGCCCUGAUAUUAUGACGGACUUGGGUCAAGUCCUGUACAUGUGAGCCUGCAGGAUUGAGAGCUUCUGGUAACUGUGCUUUAAUUAAUUCAAUCCGAUGAGGCAAGCCAGGCACCACAAACGACUCAAACUUGGAAACUUUAGAAAUCUCGAGCUUGUGUGUACAACAGCAAGCAAAACAACCCAUUCCAUCGAACAAAAUCGUCGGGAUCUUAAAGUUUAUAGCAGAAUUAACUGUCCAGGGAAGAUUCUUACCGGAGAUUAUGCAGCUCGGACGGGGAUGUAGCUUGUCAAAGAGUUGCUCAAAUGGCUGUUUUAGCAUGCUAGCAGCAUGAAAAAAGUUCUUGAUGAGAUCACGUGAAGGAAGUUUGUCCAUGUUUUCACAUCCUUGAGGCAAACCAGACUCAACAGAUGGGAAUUCAAGUUGGAGAAGCUGAAUUGAGAGACCUGAUUCAACAGCACGCUUAAUUGUGAUAUUAAAUCUCGUGGUGUUGAGAGGUGUAGUGACAAUGGUGACUUUGAUGCCAUGUUCUGCCAAAAGUCUAGCCAUGUCUAUCAUUGGAAUAAGGUGACCCGGAGACAUUAAGGGUAUCAAAACAAAAUGAAGUUGAUGGGCAGGUAAAGGUGAAGCCAUGUCAAGUCAGUUGCUGGGUUUUGCUGCUUCUAUUGUGAGAAACUUCAACUUCGAAAUAUAUCUUGCAGUCACAGUUGGUAUCUUAUUAACAUAUCUUAAAUUCAUGGCUUACUUAGAACACUAGUCUGGCUGAAUUAGGUAUUCAAGAUAGUUAAUGCUUUAUCAAUGUUAUUAAGAAAAUCAGGCACAAUUUUUAUUUCCUAAUAUGUUUGGAGACAAGAUCCUCAUAUUUAUUUCUUUUAAAGGGAGACAAUUUUACUCCAACCCAAUUUCAUUGGGAGAGAAUUUCUAUCCUCACGUAAUACCAUAAGGAUAUCUAUUAUAUCUCGAAUUAAUUUUAUCCCCACCCAAUUUUCACUAGGAGAGAAAUUGAAUCCCAGACAUUGCUGGGACUCAAACACAUGCACUCGAUGGGUUGUGCCAAUGGGUUACGAGCCCAUUGGCGUUUCUUUUUAUAGCAUUAUUCUUGAAGAAACUCACUCUUGGGAGCUUAAUUUGUCGACUGCUUCUUUUGUUUAAGAUUUGACAAAGGUGUGAAACAAAAGUAUUGUUUAUGUGUCACUUUUUUGUGAAAUUGUAAAAUACAUAAGAGAUAUCAUAUCUACCACACAAUAAAUAAAUCAUGCUUUGACAUGUAUAUAUUUAUUUUGAAAAAUUACCAUAUAAGUGGUGGUUAUAUUAAAUUUAAUUACACAUGUCAUACAUGUAUUAGUUGGUUACCUUUGAUGUAUUUUAAAAUUCCUUAACUUUUUUUGUUGUUGCUACUAAUAAUAUUCUUGUAAUAUAUUAUUUGUUAUGGAAAUUAUUAGAUAUAAUUUUGUUACUAAUAAUAAAAAUAUUUUUUAUUUAAAAAAAUUAUUAGCUGAUGAAAAACAUUUUAAAUCUCAGUAACUUGCUAUUUAAUUAGAAGGCUAUGGCUAAUUGGAAGCUGAUUCAAGUCCCAAGCAAUUGAACAUGACAUGUUUGGAGUAAUUGAAUAUGACAUGUUUGGUUCAUGUAUAUUGAAUGCUGAUGGUUUUUGGUUCAUGUAUAUUGAAUGUUCAUGGUUGACCAUUUUAACAAUAUAUAUUAAUUGCGCCCUCCCCAGUUGCAGAAAAGUAUCUAAACGGAUAGACGAUGAUACGGUUAAUGUCAAACUUAUUCAUUACGAUUAAUGAAAAAAGGAAUACCACUUGCUGAAUGAUAGUUUUUUAUUAUAUACAAUUUAAUUUAUGAAUAUUAAAUACUACGUUACAUCGAAAGAAAAAAAUUAAUGGAAUCUUAAUUUUUAACACCAAACUAAGAACUUAGAAGUGAUUUAUUAAAGAUUCUCAUUUAUGACUUUUACGUGUUGUGAUUUGCGAAAUAUGCUUAUAUCCUGAAACUUUCACGCGCGAAAGUUGGAUGAAAUCGAAACCUUCUCGAAUUCGAGAGAAGGGGGUCGCCUAGUGGCUAAAGGAGAUUUGUUUUGAAAGUCAUCAUCCGGCCGGUGACAAUAUGUUAAGAAGUGGUCAGCUUGUUACGAAAUGACAUUUUGCCCCGAGGAGCAUGUUUUAACAUCAUGAUGAUGAAAGCAUCUUAUUUAUUUACAAGUAUACUCUAUAUGAAAAAGAUUACGUAGUCCAUAAACUAACACAAUACUUGGAAGGACGUCGUUAAUUGCUCAAAAUAUUUUUCUUCAAAUGACCAUUUAGCCCAUAUAUUGUUGCUGCUUUAUCUCUUAUUCUUUCUUUGCUCCUUAAUUUGUUCAACGAACAAAAAUAGGUGAAGGCAAGACUGAGAAUUCUGGCUUGCCAGUACCAUAUAGUAUAAUGCCCAAGCCAACUAAUUUGAGAGAGAGAAAAGGGAAAUCUGUAAACUAGAAUAAAGACUUUAAAGUAGAUAACUCAUUUCCCCUGGAAAAGAGAGAAAGCAAAUCAAAAGUUCUGAGUAUUGGGAUUAUGUGUUUUUUAAAGUAUAUUUAUUCAUUUAUUUUGUAAUAAAUAAUUUUUUAUUAAUAAAUUAUUUGAGAUAUUUUUUAGAUAUUUUAAUUAUAAUAUUUUAAAUAAGAUCUUUUUGAUUAUAUUAUACGUAUUUAUGUGAUCACUAUAUGGAUUCAUAAAAGAUAUAGAUAUAAUUUAUUUCAUGAUUAAAUAAAUUGAGUUUACAGUUGAUAAAUAGAGGUGGAUGCUUAAUUUAAUUUUUUACUGUUAUAAAUAUAUUGCAUUAUUUGUCUUAAUCAUGUAUAAAUUUACUGAUUUAGUUUUGACUAUUGAACUUGAUCACAUGUGAGGUUUAAUUAACCUUAAAAUGAUUUUCACACUUAUUAAAUCUUGUAGUUAUUGAUUUUAUUACAGUCUCAAUCUUGAAUUAAUUAUAGUUUUAAUGUUUGUGAUUAUCAUUUCAUUUGAGAUACUAAUGAGCACGACAUGCUUGCAUAUCCUAUCUUUGAUUCUUCUUAGAUUCUAUUUAAUACAACUUUUCAAACAAAAUUUAUUCAAGAGGGAAUUUUAUUAGUAGAGUUUUUAUUUAAUAAUAAUAAUGGUUUAGUCAUCGAUGAGAAAUUUUAUUAGAAAUUAGAAAUUGCAUUAAUUGACAAGUUUUUAAAGCUAUGAUAUUAAAAAAAUUAUAAUAUUGUGAAAUAAAUAAUAGGACAUUUUACAAAAUUCUCUAACCUCUACUAUUAAAAGUGCAGAAUUUAAACUUUUGGUGGUAGAGGUUGUUGGAGAAAAUCAGUUUUUAAAUUUUUAUAAAAACUUUUAGGAUCGUUCUCAUACAAUAUAUAAGAAUUUAUAAUCUAGAAAUCGUACCUUGAAAAUCCAAUUUGGCUUUUUCCACUAAAGUGAUUUACGCUCCCAUAUCACGAUCCGUCACCACCACUCCUGUUAGAUCACGAUCCGCCACCAAAUAAUCUUCCAGGCUAUGACUCAAGUUUGAUCUGCACUUAACGUGUAUGCGCCUUUAUCACCAUUAAAGUAACUAGUACGAGAAAAUUUUUCUCUCAAAUUUAGAGAGAAAAAUAUUUUUCUCUGAUGUGUAUAUUGCAGGUCUCCUCUAUUUUCUUUAGAGAAAAUAAGCCUUUUUAUAUCUCCCUUUAGUGAAAACCAUUGGCUCCAAAUAAUAAAAAUCAAAAGUCAUGUUACUUGCUUUUUCUAUAGGGAGGCCACCUUGUAAAAUAAUAUAAGGCCCCUUAUAUAUAAGCAUAUUAAAUUGAGCCUCCCACUAAAUGGUAUAUUUAGGCUUUUAAUCCAAAUAGCUAGUUAUUUUGCUUAUUAAUCCAGUAGUGGUGCAGUCAAUUAAAUGAGCUAACCCGGGGAUCAUUUGAGAACAUACAAUAGUGGUUACAAUAAUUAGGUUUGUAAUUAAACUAGCCCAAUUAUUUAAUUCUAAAACUACUCCACUAAAAGAUUGGAACUGACCUCCAUAAUUGUAUGCUCGAAUAAUAAUUCGUCCCAAGCCACAUUGAUUUCUUUACUGCAUAAUCCUUUGUACCACAUCGUUAAUUAAAUCGAUAUCUUAACUGUCCAAUCGAUUUAAUUACAUCUUAUUCCUUAAUACGUACUGGUUUUCUCUAAUGAUCAUUUUCAACAUAAUAAAUAUGUUGACACACUCUGGCCAGAGAAUUCUAUGAUCAAGGGCCGAAAACCCAUCAAGAGAUGUGUUGUACAAAUUCUAUAUUGUUAAUCUAUAACUUCAAUAUUCAUAAUUGCUCCCACCAAGAUACCGGGUAAUCUUGACUACAAGUGUGUAUCGUGCCCAUUGGUAAUUCAAAUGAAAUAACAAUUACAAUCAUGAAAUUAUAACUAACUCAAGAUUAAGAUUACAGUAAAAUCAAUGCCUGUGAGAUUUAAUAAGUCUGACAGUCAUUUCAAGGUUAAUUAAAUCUCAUAUGUGAUCCAACUCAGUUUAGUCAAACUACAUCAGUAGAUUUAUACAAUUGAAAAUAAUUGUCACUAAAAAGUGUACAUUUAAUAAGGAUAAAAUUAUUAGGUUUUCACUUAUUGUGCCGAUUAAUGCGCUCAUCAUUUCUAAAUUAUUUUAAUACUCCCCAAAUAUAUUUUAUGUUAAAUUAAUUUAUAAUUUAUUAAUUUUUAUCUUGUAAAUAUUUUUCAGGAAUAAAGAUAGAAUUGGAGUUAAAAGCGGGAACAAAUAAGGACAGCUGGAGCAAUUCAAAAUUCAUCAAUCGUGAGAUGUUAUUAAAAAAAAAAGAAAAAAAAAAAGGGAUUGGCAAGCAUGUUUGUGAUGGUCAGGAGGCGAUCACGCCUCCUGACCAUCACACAAUUCAAUAUGUAUAUAUAUUAUAAAAAUAAAAUAACAUAUUAAUAUUAAUAAAAAAAAAGAAAAGAAGAUAAUUCCCUUGCCUAUAAAAGGCAAGGGGAUGCAAGCGAAUAGAAGGAAGAAAAGAGGGAUCUAAGUUUUGAGACAGAGUGAUAGCCAAGGGUGUAGCUGAAGAAUUUCUUUCUUUUUGUUUCUUUUCUUUUCGUCUGUAUCAAUUUUCUUUGUAAUUUCAUUUAAAAAAAUUUAUCAAAUAAAAAGAGUGUUGUGUUUUUUUUUCAAUAUGAGUGGCUAAUUUUAUUAAGCUGAGGUGAAGGGUGAAGCUCAAUGUUUCAAACUAUUAAAUUUAUUAUUUUUUCAAAUGAGUUUUUAAGUUUAUUUUAUUCUUUUUUAGUUAUUUUUAUGUCAUGCUAAUUUAUAAAAUUUUUUUGGAUUUGUAUGGUAUUCUGACAUAAUGUCGAUCCAUUAAUAUAGUGUGACACAUUAGGUACUUUAUUUCAUAUUUAUCCACACACAUAGAAUUAAAUGAUAUAAUAAUUAACUGGUAAAAGUGAGGCAAAAUAUAAAUAAGAGAGUAUUAAAAUUAUAGUUUGAAUACUGAGAGUAGAUCCCGUAACCUUAGCAUAUCUUUUUGAUUUUAAAUAAUUUAUUUUCCCCACAAUUAAUUUUCUUUGUUUAACAAAUUGACAACUAGAUUUUAAAAUUUCCUGUUUGUUUCGACCCCGGAUUCACCGGGUUAUAUUAUAAUUAGACACUCUUAUACUUGGGAGUAAUACACUUUUGAGUUGUACCAAAUUUUUGACGCCGUUGCCGAGGAGUUUUCUAAAUUUGUUGUUAGUUUGUCUUUACUUAUUUUUAUUUUAUUUUAAUUUUUUUUGUCGUUAUUAUCUUUCUGUGAUCCUAUUUUAUUCUCUUUUUAUAAAACUUCAGUUAGCACCCCUCCUCUUUUCAAACUUUAACAUUAUCCAUAACAUUUGUGAGAAACUUCAUUUUCGCCCAGAAACCUUUGCAAAUCAGUCCCCAAAUCGAAUUUAUUUCUUAAUAUUUCUGCAAUUUACUUUCGUAUUUAUUUUAAAUGGUCGGUUCUACCGCCUAUCAUUUUAAUUUCAGUUUAUUUAUUCUUGUACAUUAAUUUAUUUAAUUUAUGUUUUAUUAUAUGGCUGGUUUUAAAAUACCGCCUAAACCGUUAUUUUAAUUUCUUUGUUUAUGGCUGGUUUCACCGCCUAAUUUAUUUAUUUUUCAGUUUGUUUAUUUUUAUUUUUUAUUUUUUCUUUUUAAUUUCCAGUUUAUUUUUAUUUUCUGCAAUUUUCAUUUAACGUUUUAUGCAUCAUUGGUUUAGCACACAUCAUUAGCAUUGCAUGCAUUGUUGGUCUCGUACAAAUAGUGGCAGAUUAAUUAGAAGAUCACCUUCACCACCCUUAGAUAUGGUUGGCAUAGGAGCUGCAAAUAUUUCGGAGCACGAAAAUGACCAAGCCUUGCAAAAUCUUUAUGAACAGCCUAGGACCCUUAGAGACUUCAUGCAUCCUACUGGAACAGGGUCACCAUCAUGCAUAGUUUUCCCUCCUGAUGCAUCACGUUUUAAUUUCAAACCUGAUAUCAUUCAACUUCUUCCUACUUUUCAUGGUUUUAAGUCUGAAAAUCCAUAUUUGCAUUUAAGGGAAUUUGAGGAAGUCUGUAAUACAUGUACUGAUCAAAAUUGUAGCAUGAAUAUAAUCAGGCUUAAGUUUUUUCCUUUCUCACUAAAGGAUAAAUCUAAAACUUGGCUACAAAAUCUUAGGUCAGGAUCCAUCAGAACUUGGGAUGAAAUGCGAGCACAAUUUUUGAAAACAUUCUUCCCACCCCACAGAACAAAUUCUUACAAAAGAAAAAUCACCACAUUCACUCAGAAAUCAGGAGAAACCCUCUACCAAUGUUGGGAUAGGUUUAAAGAACUACUUAACAUUUGCCCACACCACGGUUUUGAAACAUGGAGAUUAGUGUCUUAUUUUUACAAGGGUUAGACAAGUCGUUGAAAUAAUGUGUAAUGGUGAGUUUAGGGAUAAAAGUCCUGAAGAUGCAUUAAAUUAUCUUGACUAUAUAGCAGAGAAUGCACAACACUGGGAUACAAUUGGUUCUUAUGAGUCAUCAAGUAAACCCCAGUCAUCUCCAUCUGGUGGAGGCAUGUAUAACGUUAGGAAAGACUAUGAUUUUCAAGCCAAAUUUGCAUCAUUAGCUAGAAAAGUCGAAGCAUUAGAAUUGAAAAAGAAUGAUCAUGUAAAGUCUGUUCAAAAUAUUUCAUGUUAUAUUUGCGAUUCUACUGACCAUUCUACACAGGAUUGUCCAACUUUGCCAGCUCUGAGAGAAAGUUUACACGAACAAGUAAAUGUCAUUGACAAUUUCAAAAGGCCAAAUCCAAAUCCAUACUCCCAAACUUACAACUCUGGUAAGAGAAACUACCCAAAUUUCAGUUGGAGAAAUGACAAUCAAGCACAACCUUCACAACCAGUUCCUCCACGUCAAAAUUUCUAAAACUUCCAGAGUUACUCACCAUAUGUCCCACCACCAAGAAAUUCAUACGAUUGUAAGGCAUGUACUUGCUCAGAAUAAGCCUCUUGAUAGGCUGGUAAUGAUGGACAAUUCUGUGCUAUAUGAGACAAGUUAGAACAAAGAGCACAAACCUCAUUAGCUACACUAGGAUGAUGAUUCAUUGAUUGGUUCAGAGCUAAGGCAUAUACUAUCCUAGAAAGUGUAGCUAGAGUGGAUUUCACAUCAAAAUCAUCCUUAACUUCACAUAACCCCUUUCUAGAAACUUGAGAUGAUUUUUCCCUUUGAUUUGAAAAAUCCCACUGUUGAGAAUUCUCAAAAAGUGAAUUAAAGAAAUCCCAUGCAGUCCCUUCAUGUAAGUUCAAAAAUCUCCCACCAUUCAUAGACUCUACCAUAUGACGAUUUGACACAGUUAAACCAUUAUAAAAGCAUUGUAUAAGUCUCCAUUUCUUAAAAUCAUGGUGGGGACACUUGAGAAGUAAAUCAUUGAAUCUUUCCCAACACUUAUAAAAUUGUUCACACUCUCUUUGAUAAAAAUCACUUAUCUCUCUCCUAAGGGCAUUUGUUUUAGACAUAGGGAAAAACUUGGUGAGGAACUUAUUACUCAAUUCAUCCCACAUAUUAAUAGACCCAGCAGGAAGUGAAUUCAGCCAAGCUUUUGCUUUGACUUUUAAUGAGAAAGGGAACAUAUGAAGCCUAAUUGACUCAUCAUUAAAAUUUUGAAAACGAAAUAUAGAGCAUAUGUCCAAAAAUUCCUUAAUGUGCAAAUAUGGAUCCUCUCUAUCUAACCCAUGAAAAGAUGGUAAAAGUUGAAUGACUGAGGGCUUGAGUUCAAAGUGUGUUGUUAUGGUUUGUGGCAACACAAUACAAGAUGGUUGGUUGGCUGCAAGUGGUGAAAAAUAUUCUCUAAGGGUUUUCUCUGCUUGCACUGGUGGAAGUAUUGGCAAUAGUCUAUUUGGGUCGUCCAUCACUUCUAAAGAACUAUCUAGACUACUAUCAAUUUUUGACUCUUUUUUUACCAAACGAUUUGUUGAAUCACAUUCCCAAACACUCAUAAACUAACUAGACAAAAGAAGAAAAAUAAAACAAUAAUAAUAAAAAUAAACAAAAUUUAAAAUAAAAGAAAUCAAACAACCAAACAAUGAAUUCAAAGUAAAAAACAUUAUUUUUUUUUAAUUUUUUAUAUAAAAAAAUUAAAUAAAUAAAAUAAAAGACAACCUAAGUUAUAACUAGUGGAAGAAUUAAAUCAACCUAGAUUACACUGACUUUUUGACACAAUCCCCGGCAACGGCGCCAAAAAUUUAUUGUGAAAAUUUUAAUAUACUCACAAGCGCACGAAUCUAGAAAUAAAAUAGUGGUAACGAGGUCGAACCCACAGGGAUUGCUGAAAAGUCUAAUUUAAAUUUAAAAUUAAUAGUAAUUCUAACCUAGUUGAGCAAAUUGAGUUUCUAAUAAAAUUAAACCAAUUAAACUUAGAAAAUAAUUAAAGCAAAGGAGAAUUCAAUAGGACAAAAGUUACCAAGGUUUCAGAAUCCACCACUAUUACACUAGUAAUUAUCUAAAUAUUAAUUAAUCCCUAAUUUUAGUGUGACCACUCGAAAUCAAUCUAUAUCAUCUCAUGAAUAUAACAACUAAGCCCAAGUAAUUAAAUCUAAUAUAGGUUCUUUUUCUACUUAAUAGUAUGAUAUCUAAGAAUCUCAUGUAAACAUAUUGAAUAACAAAGAGUCAAAGUUUUCCUAAGCACUCUAUGUAAACAAUUUAAUGAAAGACAUAAAAUCAAAGAUAAUCAUGUAUAAACUUUAUAGAUCCAAGCAUAGAUUUAGUCAAAUAUUAAUCAUAACAAUAAAUAAUGCAUGAUAGAAUUGGUGAAAAGAUUUAAUAACAUCCAACUAAUCAUCUGAAACAAAAAUCAUAAUCAUUAAAGCACACAUGUAGGGAAUUAAUUAAAUAAAAAGAUAAUUAUUUCAUUAAAUAGGGCUUCAUCCUUAACCUCAGUAUAAGAAAAUUAGGUAGACAUACUUGAAUUAGGAGCAACAAAAGAAAUAAAAUCAGCCAUGGGAAAAUUUAAGAGCUGCUUCCGCUGCUUUAUUCUCUCUGUCUCGCGUCCUCCCUUUUGUUUUCGUCCCCUAAUGGCUGCUCCCUCCUCCAAAAGCCAAAAGCUUAGUUUUCUUAUAUAGCCUUUAAAAUGGGCCCCAUCUUAUCAAUUCUAAAGCCAAAAAGUUUUGCCCUUUUAUUUGUUUUGCUUCACUCACGUGUUGGGCACUUUGAAUUGCAAUAGGUUUCCUUUUUUCCAUUUAUGAAAGCCAAGUACGGGUCCUUUCUUAAAGCUAAAAUCAAUUUCUCUCUUUUGUCUACAUGUGCAUGAUGAAUCAACUUGUUGAAUUUGGUUCCUUGGCUUGAUUUCCACAUGCAUGUAUGUCUAAUUCCUUCCAAACAUCAAUUAAUCUUUAAUGCUUCCAAAAUUGAGCUCUUUUAUGCCCUUUUUACCCAUAAUCUCAAACCAAUUUCCUAUUCAAUAAAAUAAUGUAAUUAAUUAAAAAUAACAAAUAAAAAUAACUAGCAAUUAUAUAAUAAAGGAUAAAAUAUGUAUAUAAAUUAUGCUUAUCAAUGGUAUUGAUUAAAGGAAACUUAGAUAAUGGCCUGUAUGUUCUUCAAGGGUCUGUGAUCACAGGAGAUGUUGGAGUCUCAAACCAGAAUCUAAACAAAACCUUGUUGUGGCACUUUAGAUUAGGCCAUAUGAGUGAGAGAGGUUUAAGAGAACUAUCAAAAUAGGGAGUCCUGGGUAAAGACAAACUAGAGUCCCUAGAAUUUUGUGAGGAAUGUGUCCUAGGCAAGUCCUCAAGAGUUAAAUUCAGUACUGGUGCACAUGUUUCAAGAGGAACACUAGAUUAUGUUCAUGCUUAUCUGUGGGGACCCGCACAGACAGCAUCCUUAGGAGAGGCUAGGUACUUUCUAUCUCUAAUUGAUGACUAUUCUAGAAUGGUGUGGGUGUCUGUGUUGAAAAACAAAGAUGAGGUGUUUGAACAAUUCAAAACCUAGAAGACGCUAAUUGAAACUCAGACCAGCAUGAAGGUUAAGAAACUUAGAACUGAUAAUGGUUUAGAAUUCUAUAACAAGAGGUUUGAAGAUUUUUGCAGUAAGCAUGGAGUCAUGAGGCAAAGAACAAUAAGAUAUACACCUCAGCAAAAUGGACUAGCUGAGAGGAUGAACAGAACCUUAGUUGACAAAGUAAGGUGCAUGCUUAUUCACUCUAAGCUACCCAUGUCCUUAUGGGCUGAGGCUCUAUCAACAACUUGUUAUAUUGUGAACAGAAGCCCUUCAACUGGAAUUAACUUUAAAACACCAUAUGAACUAUAGUAUGGUAAACUAGUAGAUUAUUCCAGCCUGAAGAUCUUUGGUUGUCCAGCAUAUGCUCACAUCAAAUAAGGUAAAUUAGAGCCCAGGGCAUUGAGGUGUGUGUUUCUUGGUUACCCUGAAGGUGUAAAAAGGUAUAAACUAUGGUGCAUAGAAUUGAAGCCUCCAAAAGCAAUCAUCAGCAGGGAUGUAGUAUUUUGAGAUGCUUCAACAAUCAGUAUCAUUAAAGACUACUAAUGCAGAACUGGAAGAUAAAGAUGAGAAGUCUUAUUUUGAGGUGGAGCUAUCAAACUCAAACUAGAUAUAGAGAACAAGAUCAGAAGCUAGAAAAGUAACAGGCAUGGAAAUACAUGACACUAAGACUGAAACAACAAGUGAUCAGGAGAGAAGUGAUGAUUAUCAGUUAACAAGGGAUAGAGAAAAGAGAGUUAUAAGACCUCCUAGAAGAUAUGCAUAUGCAGAUUUAAUUGCAUUUGCAUUAACAGUAGCACAUGAAAUUGCAGCAGAUGAACCUAGAACAUACUCAGAAGUUAUUAACAGUAAUAAGGCAGAUGGAUGGAUCAAGGCUAUGGAUGAGGAAAUGAUGUCCUUGAGAAAAAAUCACACUUGGAAUCUCAUUGAAAGACUAGUAAACAAAAGGGUAGUUGGAUGCAAAUGGAUUUAUAGGAUUAAGGAGGGUAUACCAGGUGUUGAACCACAAAGAUACAAAGCCAGGUUGGUUGCAAAAGGCUUCACUCAGAAGGAGGGGGUUGACUUUACAGAAGUUUUUUCUCUAGUGGUGAGACAUGCUUCCUUGAGGAUCUUGUUAUCUCUAGUUGCUGUAAAAGACAUGCAUCUAUAGUAGAUGGAUGUGAAGACUGCUUUCCUGCAUGGUGAAAUAGAUGAGAUGAUAGUGAUGACUCAACCUGAAGGUCAUGAGGAUCAAGAAAAGGCUGAUCAUGUAUGUCACCUAAGAAAGUCACUAUAUGGACUAAAACGGUCUCCAAGACUACGGUACCUGAGAUUUGACAAGUUUAUGUCAGAACAUGGGUUUCAAAGGAGUAGUUUUGACUAUUGUGUUUACUUCAAAACCAUAGAAGGUGGUGACAAGAUUUAUUUACUGCUCUAUGUAGACGACAUGUUAAUAGCUCGUAAGAAGAUGAAGUACAUCAAUGAUUUGAAACAGCAGCUGAGCAAUACAUUCGAGAUGAAAGAUCUGGGUGCUGCAAAGAAGAUCCUUGGUGUUAAGCUGAUAAGAGACAGAAAGAAUGGUAUCCUAAGCCUAACACAAAACAAAUACAUCAGGAAAGUACUUGAGAAAUUCUAUAUGGAUAGAUGUAAACCAGUGCAGACACCAUUACCAGCUCAUUUCAAACUAUCCUGUCAGCAGUGUCCAAACUUUGAUUCAGAAAAGGAUGAAAUGACUAAGUUUCCAUAUUCAAGUGUUGUUGGAUGUCUAAUGUAUGCAAUGGUCCUGACUAGGCCUGAUCUCUCUCAUGCAGUGAGUGUAGUAAGCAGGUAUAUGGCAAACCCAGGGUUGGAUGUCUAAUGUAUGCAAUGGUCCUGACUAGGCCUGAUCUCUCUCAUGCAGUGAGUGUAGUAAGCAGGUAUAUGGCAAACCCAGGAAAAGAACAUUGGAAGGCUGUUGUAUGGAUCUUAAGAUACCUUGCUGGUACAGCUGAUUAUGGUUUAAUCUAUGGGGCUGAGAAACAUGCAGAGGUUUGAGUGGAAGGCUAUAUGGAUGCAGAUUAUGCUGGAGAUCUAGAUAAAAGAAGGACUUUAAUAGGUUUUUUGUUUAUGCUAAAUGGCUGCACUAUAAAUUGGAAAGCUUCACUGCAAAAGUGUUGUUGCUCUGUCUACAACUGAGGCAGAAUAUACAGCAGCUGGAAAGGCAAUAAAAGAAGCUAUAUGGCUUAGAGGGAUGGUGACAGAGCUGGGAUUUGAACAAAAGCAAAUUACAGUUCACUGUGAUAGCCAAAGUGCUAUAUGUCUGAGUAAGAAUCAAAUACACCAUGAGAAGGCCAAGCAUAUUGAUAUGAAGCUUCACUUUGUCAGAUUAGAAGUAUCAAAAGGUGUGGUUAAAUUGGUUAAAAUACACAUUGACAACAACAUUGCUGACAUGCUUACCAAUGCUGUACUAGGAGCUAAGUUUGAGUUCUGCUUGAACUCAGCUGGUAUUUGCAGGAUAUAGUCUGCAGAUAAGGAGUGGAAGGGUGAACCCAAGGAGUGAAUGAUUUUGAGUUCAAGGUGGAGAAUGUUGAAGUAUGAACUGCAAAUUAGUUUACGACAAGUCGGUUAAAGACUCGUCAAUACUAUGACAUGUCGAUUGGAGUCCUGAGAAGGCUGUAUGACAAGGAUAUUGUGUCAUUUGUGAUUGCAAGACAAGCAUGUGACUUCGCAUGUGAUUCACUUAAACGGAACGACAGUUUGGGCUGCUGUUUCAUCACUUAGAGCAAACAAGAUUAAGACACGUGGUCAGGGAGCUGAUCAGUGUUCUGUUAAGGUUGUUAACCAGCGCAAGAAGCUACUAGACUUUGUUACUGAACACAAGGGAAGUAUGUUGAUGACUGAGAGAUCCUUCUAGAUUGAGCAUUGCUUGUAUAUAUAGCCUGGUAUCUUGGAAUACUGAUAUGUGGUGUUUGUGUAAUCUUCUCUGGAAAACUUGUGCUCUGUAAACUCUCAUUCAAGUAAAGCUUGGGUUCUUUUUCCACAGUGGAUGUAGGCUUCCAUGGCCGAACCACUAUAAGCUUUCUCUGUGUUGUCUUUCUGUUCUUAGAUUCAUUCUUUGAUUUGACUUGGUUGUUUAGGUCGUUAAACAUUGCUUUAGAUUGUAGGUUGGUAAUCUAUCAUUUUAGAUUCAAGAACCUUAAUAGAGUGGAUCUUGGUGAGCCAUUAACAAUACUUUACUGGUUCUUGGCAUAACAUUUUACUGCAUAAUCCUUUGUACCACAUCGUCAAUUAAAUCGAUAUCUCAACUGUCCAAUCGAUUUAAUUACAUCUUAUUCCUUGAUACUUACUGGUUUUCUUUAAUGAUCAUUUUCAACAUAAUAAAUAUGUUGACACACUCUGGCCAGAGAAUUCUAUGAUCAAGGGCCGAAAACCCAUCAAGAGAUGUGUUGUACAAAUUCUAUAUUGUUAAUCUAUAACUCCAAUAUUCAUAAUUGCUCCCACCAAGAUACCGGGUAAUCUUGACUACAAGUGUGUGUCGUGCCCAUUGGUAACUCAAAUGGAAUAACAAUUACAAUCAUGAAAUUAUAACUAACUCAAGAUUAAGAUUACAGUAAAAUCAAUGCCUAUGAGAUUUAAUAAGUCUGACAGUCAUUUUAAGAUUAAUUAAAUCUCAUAUGUGAUCCAGCUCAAUUUAGUCAAACUACAUCAGUAAAUUCAUACAUGAUUAAGACAAAUCAUUCAAUGAAUUUACUACAGUCUAAAUAUAAAUAGAGCAUCCAACUCUAUUUCUCAACUGCGAACUUAAUUUAUUUAAUCAUAAGAUAACUUGUAUUUAUGUCUUCUGUGAAUCCAUAUGAUGAUCACAUAAAUACAUAUAAUAUGAUUAAACAGACCUUUUUCAAUAGAUUUAUACAAUUGAAAAUAAUUGUCACUAAAAAGUGUACAUUUAAUAAGGAUAAUUUCAAUAUAUUUAUCCAAUUGAAAAUAUAUCAAAUAUUAUAUUAAUCAGAAAAUAAAUUAAUAUGCUUUAAAAGAGCACAUAAUCCCAACAGAGGUCAAAUAACCUAUUUAAUCCCCAAAAAAUCUACUUAAAAUAUAAGCAGCAGCAACAAAAAAAUUAAAAAAAAAAGCUUUUGAGAUUAAAUAAAUUGUUAUGGUCAUUAGAUAUGCAAUACCAAACAUGCAUUUAAUCAUCCUCCUGCUACUAUAGGAAUUAGGUUGAUUACCAUUGGUCCAUUAAAAAAAGGUGGGACUAUUAGCACUCUAAACAUUAUUUUAAACACUCUAUUACCUUGUACACUCAUAUACUAAUUUUAAAAGAUUAAGUUUUACUUUGUACACUCUUUUUAGUUUCCAAAAAAUAUUCUUACUUGAACUAUUUAAAUUAAUUACUUUAUUUACUUGAAACUCCAAUAAAACUAUUGAAUGUACCAAUUUUAAGAGAUUUAGCAACAAUAUAACCAAUCUUGUUGUAAACAAAUUAUUUUACACAAUUUUAAUUAAUAAUUUUAUAUUUAUUUAUGUUCAAUAUUAGAUUUUACACCAAGAAUGACUUGCAAUGAAAACAUCAUAAUAAAAAGUAUUCUAUAAAUAUUAAACAAAAAGGAAAAAGGAGGAGGAGGAGGAGGUGGAGAUCACGAAGAAGACGAUUGAAAUGGGUCGAAAGCCAACAAAAAAAUGGCCAUUUGAAGUAAUUAUGUUUUAUUUCAUUUUUGAAAAGAAUAAUCACUUAUAUUUUGUGGUCAAAACUUUUUAUAUAUAUUGAUUUCCUCAUUUCUUAUCUAAAUACUAAUUAAGAUAUUGGAAAUAAAAGUUUCAGGGUUUAAAGAAUGGGAAUUACAUAGUAAACAACGAGUGUCCUACGUGGGUGAUAAAAGUAAUUAUGUAAUAUUAAUUAUAAUAAAUUGUCCUUAAUAUGAUGGAUAUAUUUUUAAUAAAUUUUUUUAUCAAAAUCUGAGUGUUUACAGUAAAUUAUAUAGUGGAAAUAUCUCCACCCUUAAAAAAAAUGAUCCUACUUAUAAAGUUAUAAAGUAACAAUUCAAAAUCAGGUUAAUUAUUUUAAAAGCAAUGAUAUUUACCAAAAUGGUUAUAUCGAAAAAGUGAGACUGAACUUGAUGAAAAUCAAAGUAACAUGGUUUGAUCUUACAUUAAUUCUAUCAACACUCUGUUAGCUAAUAGCAUUUAGUUUCUUUACUAUUUUUUUCUUAAUUUUACUGUUGAAUUAUAACAGCCAAAUUCCUAUGUGUGUGUAUAUAUCUUUUAGGUGCUUUUAUUUAUUUAUUUUAAAAAAUAUACAAAAUUUGAAACAUUGCUGAACAUAUUUUUUUUACACCUUAAAAUAAAGAGUAAUGAUAGAACCAUAACCACUUUGUACAAAUAAAGUGUGUUGAAAUUUAUGUGGCAUGAGGAUUGGUUAUAUAAAAUUAUUAUGGGACCACGUAAUUAAAAAAAUAACUGUUAUAACUUUUCAAUCAAUCUUUUCAAAUUGCAUCAAUUUGUAUAUAUUAACUUGUACAAAAUUAUUUAUGACUCUAUUAAUAUUGUAAAAUAAAUAUCCAAUGUGAUUUUAAGAUAAUUAGAUAAAUGACCUCAAGAGCGUGGUCGGGUUGAUAACAACAUGAACCUUGUAACUGCUGUCCACCCUUCAUGAACGAAAAAAAAAAUAUUUGAGUUUUUCCUACCGUCCUUACUUUUUUAAAAGAAAAAUAAAACAGAUAAAGAUAUAAGAUCCCACACGUAGAUAACCAAUAAUCAUAUGUAAUGUGAACAGUUCAUGUUAUCAUUUUAAUAAAACAUCAACAGUUCGGAAACAAGUCUCUGAACGCGCAAAAUAAAAUAUUAUAUCUUUAAUUUCAUGGAUCUUAUCUAAGCUUUUGCCUCUUUCUUUUGGAAGUUUUAUAGUUGACACAUGUAUUUCUUGUCCCUUAUGAACUUACACUUUAUUUUAAAACUCACGAAUACAUGGACAAAAUAGAAUGUAAAAGAAAUAGACAAAAACUCUCGGUUGAAUCUAUGUGGAAGAACGUCAUCCACACGGUUGUUACCAUUUGGGUCUAUAUGAGAGCCAUAGCCACAAUAUUAUCUUCCAAUAUAAAAACAUGCUUAUGCAGACUCUCACGUCAAUUGACAUUGAAACUCCGUAUAAUGUGUGUGUUGGCGUGUGUUUAUAUGUAUAUAGAGGGAGGGUACAAGCGAACAUCUAGUACUAGUCAUUAGUGGACACACUUCCUCAUCUACCCAUGGCGUCUGAAGGGAGCUGCCAGCAGGCUCACUUUGUUUUGUUCCCUUUUCUAGCUCAAGGCCAUAUGAUUCCUAUGAUAGACAUAGGUAGAUUGUUGGCUCAGAAUGGAGCUGCUAUUACUAUUGUCACCACGCCAGCUAAUGCAGCUCGUUUCAAAACAGUUGUUGCUCGUGCCAUGCAGUCUGGGCUACCACUCCAACUUAUUGAAAUACAAUUUCCAUAUCAGGAAGCCGGAAUACCAGAGGGCUCUGAGAAUUUUGACAUGCUUCAUUCAACGGACUUGCUAUUCAACUUCUUCAAGUCGCUUACACUCCUUCAAUUGCCACUUGAGAAUCUGUUAAAAGAGCUAGCACCAAAGCCAAGCUGCAUAGUCUCUGACAUGUGUUAUCCUUGGACUGUUGACACUGCUGCCAGGUUCAAUAUUCCUCGUAUAUCAUUCCAUGGAUUUUCUUGCUUCUGUCUCUUGUGUUUGUACAACUUGCACACAUCCAAGGUUCACGAAAACGUUACAUCUAAUUCUGACUACUUUGUGGUGCCUGGCUUGCCUGAUCAAAUUGAAAUGACUAAAGUUCAAGUCCCACUAAUGCGUGAGAACUCGAAAGAUUUUGGGGAAUUGGUUUUAGCAGCUGAUAUGAAAUCUUAUGGGAUUAUAAUAAAUACUUUUGAAGAAUUAGAGUCGGAGUAUGUGAAAGAAUACAAGAAAACCAAAGGAGGGAAAGUAUGGUGUCUCGGCCCUGUUUCACUUUGCAACAAACAAGACAUAGAUAAGGCUGAGAGGGGUAAAAAGGCAGCAAUUGAUGUCUCUGAAUGCUUGAACUGGCUGGAUUCGUGGCCACCUAACUCGGUGGUGUACGUUUGUCUUGGAAGUAUUUGUAAUCUAACAUCUUCGCAAAUGAUUGAGCUUGGUUUAGGUCUAGAAGCCUCUAAGAAACCAUUUAUUUGGGUUAUCAGAGGAG
rnacentral:lncRNA from 1 species